rnacentral:rRNA from 1 species
UACGGAGGGGGCUAGCGUUGUUCGGAAUGACUGGGCGUAAAGCGCGCGUAGGCGGAUCGGAUAGUUGGGGGUGAAAGCCCAGGGCUCAACCCUGGAAUGGCCUUCAAAACUCCCGGUCUAGAGUUCGAGAGAGGUGAGUGGAAUUCCGAGUGUAGAGGUGAAAUGCGUAGAUAUCAGGAGGAACGCCAAUGGCGAAGGCAAGUCUCUGGACAGUUCCUGGCGCUCAUGCACGAAGGCCAGGGGAGCAAACGGG